ACCAACUCACUCACAUCUCCACUGUCUUUCUGUUUCUCUGUCUCUGUUGGUGGCGCUGGGAUCCAUAGGCGUUUGGAGGACAGGAACCGGACAGGACACGCACCCUCAACACACACAGCAGCACCACAGACAUGUCGGACUCUGAGACCGCCGCUGCCCCUGCUGAGGCCCCCGUCCCUGCUGCUUGUGCCAGCAUCAAGGCUGACCUGGACAAAUGUGUGGCAGAGAAGGGAGCCGAGGGCUGCAAAGAUCUGAUGGAGGCCUUUGCUGCUUGUGUGAAGAGUGCAGCUGAGGGGACAUCAUGAGGGGCUGCCCACCCCCCAACCUCAAAUGUCCACUGCACUGAGUCCUCCCAAGUUCCCAGCAUUCCCUUCUGCACAACGGCACUGGAAUGAAUGAUGACAACGACGGUGAUGAUGAUGAUGAUGAUGGCGUGACAAACAUUGUGUUGAUUUGGGCUGAGUUUGGGAUCUGGCAGCAGAAACCACAGUUUCCCCCCCUCCUCCCCUCCUCCCCCUCCUCCCUCCCUCCCCGUCCUUCCCCAUGUUUUAGGCUUAUCUGGUACCCUCAGUCUUACCUCCAUUCCCCCUUCUCUCUCUCUAUGACUGACAUACAGUACAUCGACUUGUAGACAGUUCCAGAGAGCCGAUGGGCUGUGAUGUAAAUUGUCGACUUGAGAUGAAUACUUAUAAAUGGAAAUAAAAGUAUCAAAUAAUUGGUAUAAAAA